GUGGAAUGGAAUCAAAUGGGCAUCUUGAGAGCAGGAAACCUCCUUGUUGCCAUUGUAUCCCUAGAGCCUCACAUAGGCUUCAGGACCAACUCUCUCCAUACGUGUCUGACCAUAAAACAGGGUUUUUGUGAUGUGAGACAUUCAAGUUUUACGUUCAAAUGUCAUGAAAGAAAAUGCAACUUGUUACAGUCACAUGGAUAGGAAUGAAGGACAAUUUAACCUCAGCUAAACUGAAGAAUCUUGAAAACAUUUGAGGUUUUUAUAUACAGUAUUGUGUAUAUGUGGGCCUGUUUAAUGAUCCAUUAAGCAACUCAUUUCCUCUCUUAUUCCUCCACCCAGCUCCUGAGAACUGCCAAGUUUCCCUAUUAUCACUUUCUGUUAAAUCCAUCCUCUUGCCUCCCAUCCCUUUUCAGGCCCUCAGUAUCCUUCACUUGCUCUGAAAUGCUCCUGCAGUGGCUCUUGGAUGUCAGUCUUACCUUCUGGAAUCCAGGCUCCACACUGGUACCAGAUGAGUAACUCCGAAAUGCCAUUGACCUUGUCCCUGCUCUGCCACCCAGUCCUUCAAUACCACCUCUUGUCUACACCAUGCAGUUCUCUACUUGGAACAUAAGGCCCAAUAACCUGGUGUUGGGCUCUGAACACUUUGACAUGCUGAGUAAUUUAAACUGAAGGAGACUGGAAGGUCUCAGAAGGCGGGGCUCUCUGACCUCUCCCAUCCUUCGGUUUUCCACCAGUCUUUCUCCUCUGAGGUGAUUCACAGAAACCAGAAUUCCUCUUCCCCAAGGUGGGUCAUAGAAACUAGAAUCCCUUUCCCCCAAAGCAAGCCAUAAAACCUAGAAAGGCCACUCCCUUUUCCUUCUCCCUUCUUCCUUGGAGACCCUCAUUUCAGAGGGGUCCUGCCCCAUCCCCAGGAGGAAAAAAUGCUACACAGGCCAAGAAAAAUCUGAACAGACAGGCCUUUCUGGAUUUCCCUCCCCUGCCCCAACCUCUGUUAUUACCAUUAGAUCACACUCUUUUUGUCUAAUCAUAUUCCUACAUGGCUAGCCAUUCUUCAGUGAACCUAUGCAUUAAACUAGUUUUCCC
rnacentral:lncRNA from 1 species